rnacentral:rRNA from 1 species
CAAUAGCGUAUAUUUAAGUUGUUGCAGUUAAAAAGCUCGUAGUUGGAUUUCGGGUGGGAAUGGCCGGUCCGCCGUUUCGGUGUGCACUUGCUACGCCCACCUUGCUGCCGGGGACGUGCUCUUGAGUUCACGCUCGGGACACGGAGUCGGCGAGGUUACUUUGAGUAAAUUAGAGUGUUCAAAGCAGGCCUACGCUCUGAAUACAUUAGCAUGGAAUAACACGAUAGGACUCUGGCCUAUCUUGUUGGUCUGUAGGACCGGAGUAAUGAUUAAGAGGGACAGUCGGGGGCAUUCGUAUUUCAUUGUCAGAGGUGAAAUUCUUGGAUUUAUGAAAGACGGACUACUGCGAAAGCAUUUGCCAAGGAUGUUUUCAUUAA